GAUUAGGAUCUCUUUUAGCCUUGAUACCCCCAACCCCAUGAUGCUGUCUCCAAAUAUAGUCAUAUUGGGCACUGGGGCUUCAACAUAUACAUUUGUUGGGGUUGGGUGGAUACAGUUCAGUCUGUAACACAUAUGUCUUUUUCCACCCUUCUGUUUUCAACAUAUUUGUGUUUUGAACUUUGAAGUGCAUCCCUUAUAGAGAGAAUAUUCUUUUUUGGUAAUUAUGUAUUAUAGUUGAUUUAUAAUGUUGCACCAAUUUCUGCUUAUUCCCCACGUCACAAAUGCAAUAGCAGUAUAAUUCUGUGUACUCCUGUCUUGUACUUUGUGCUUUGUUGUCAUAUCUUUUAUUUCUAAAUAAGUUACAAAUCCCACCUUAUAAUAUUAUUAUUUUUGCUUUAACUGAGUUAGUUGUCUUUUAAGGAAAUUAUGAGAAAACAAUAAUCUUUUAUGUUUAAUUUCUUUUUAAAAAACCUUUCUUUGGUACUUUUUUUUUUUCCCAUGCCCAUUGAUCUAAGUUUCCAUCUGAUAUCAAUGUCUUUCAACCUAAAGUACGUCCUUCAGCAUUUCUUAUAGUGUAGAUCUAUAGACAUCAAACACUCUUAGCUUGCAUUUAUCAAAAAUAUCUUUAUUUCAUCCUAGUUUUUGAAGAAUAGUACUGAUGAAUACAAAAUUCUGAAUUGAUAAUUUUUUUCUUACCGUUAAAUGUUCUUCCGUCGUCUUCUUGCCUCCACUCUUUCUGAUAAGUCACAAUAAUCAUUGUUGUUUCCCUAUAUGUAAAGUGUCUUUUUUUCCUGAUUGCAUUUGAGAUUUUUUUUUCUUUUGGUUUUCAUAGUUUGACCCUAACAUAUCUAGGUGUGCUUUUCUUUGUAUUUAUCCUACUUAGUUUUCACUGAGUUUUUUGAAUCUAUAAAUUUAUGCCUUUAGCAAGUAUAGUAAGAUUUCAGGUUUUAUUUUUUCAAGUAUUUUUCUUCCCCAUCUUCAGUCUCUUUUCCUGUGGGACUCCUAUUUACAUGUAUUUUGGCCAUUUGAUAUUGUUUGGAAGAUUCCUGAGAUUUUGUCCUUUUUUUCUUCAAUCUUUUUCUUUUCUUUCCUUUGAAUUAAUUUCUUUUACUUUGUCUUCAAGUUCAUUAUACUUCUGUCUCCAAAAUCUAUCAAUCAAAUCAAGUUUUAAAUUUUUUUAAUUGUACGUUUCAGUUAUAGCUUUAAAAAAUAGUGUCAGUAGUUCUGCUGAGACUUCCUAUUUGUUCACUCAUUAAGAGCAUCUUCCUUUAAUUCUUUGAAAAUAUUUUAAAUUGUUACUUUAAAGUAAUUGCUAAAUCUAACAUCUGAGUUAUCUUGGAAUUGGUUUCUUGACUAUGAGUAUAUUUUUCCAUUCUUUGCAUACAUAUUACUUUUUUGAUUGUGUCCUUGAUAUUGUUGAAGGUGUGCUCUUGAGACCUUGGGUUCUGUUAUCAUCCUCUGAAAGAGUAUGGUUUUUAUCCUAGCACACAGUAAGGAGUUUGAUUCCUGGCUCAUCACCUCGACUUUUUGUAGUCUUUGAUAUGGAGCAUCUCUGGAAAGCCCAUCUUUGUCAAGCAACUUUGACUUAAUGGGGUCAACUCCAAAUCUUUGUCCCUUGUGGAUAUUGUGAGGGCUUCACUUUAGGAUUUUUUUCUUUUUAGGGCCACAUCCGCAGCACGUGGAGGUUCCCAGACUAGGGGCCAAAUCAGAGCCACAUCUGCUGGCCUACGCCACAGCCACAGCAACUUGGGAUCCGAGCCGUGUCUGCGACUUAUACCACAGCUCAUGGUAAUGCCAGAUCGAACCCACAACCUCAUGGUUCCUAGUCAGAUUCUUUUCCUCUGUGCCACAACGGGAACUCCUAGGCUUUUUUAAAUGGUGGGACCAAAGGUGUUUUGUAUAAUGUGACAGCCACAUGUAGCUGUUUAAAUUUAUAUUAAGUAAAAUGAAAAAAAUGAAAGAAUCAUUUCCUUGAUUGCACUACCUAUACUUUGAGUGCUUGAUAACUACAUGGAGGUGGUGGUUAUCAUUUUGGACACAGCAAAUGACAUUAGCAUCAUUGCAGAAAGUUCUAAUGGUCAGUGAUUAUCAAGAGUAUGCAUUACUCUAGGGUGUGGUCCUUACUCUCAGGCUGUCGUUUAUCUUCAUGUCUCAGCCAGAGGCCUGGGUGUGAACAAGAUUUCUCCUCUGUGGCUGGACUGUAUUUCUUCUACCCUCUAGCAGCACCCUGUCACAGCUACUCUCUGGCAAGCCUGUGCACUCUCUCUCUGGCAUAGCCUAGCUUUCAGCUAAGGACUUUGUAUGGCACCCCUACACAGCUUCUGGAGACCCCUGUCUGCAGUUCACUCCUCUCUAGUGCCUUUCCUUAUGAUCCCAGCCAUUUCAGCUGCUCUGAUCUCUGAUUUCUACCUUCUCAGCUCUUUAGAACUGCCAUGUUGUACUCAGAUUUUGGCUCUCUAAUCUACACUGGGGGAAAUAAUUCCUAGACAGAGAGCUGGGGCAAUUGUGGGGUUCACCCUGUGAACUGCUCUCCUUUCAGGCGUCCUGGUCUUGUGCUGCCCAUUGCCCAGUACCAGAAAACCGUUGCCUUCUGUGCUUUUUCCAUUUUAUGUUUGUUUUACUUCACUGAUGGCAGGGGUACUUUAUACCAGUGAUUCCAUCAUACCUUGAGGUAGAACCCUCAUUAAUUAUCAAGCAACUUAAAGUCACAAAUUAUAUACUCCUUUUUUUUUUUUUAAUUGUUUUUGGCUGUACCCAUGGCAUGUGAAAAUUCUUGGGCCAGGGAUUUAACCUGCACCACAGCAGUGACAACGCUGGAUCCUUAACCUGCUGAGGCACUGGGGAACUCCCAUGCUCCUGGUUUUUUUUUUGUUUGUUUGUUUAUUUGUUUGUUUUUCUCUUAAGGCUGCUCCUGCAGCACAUGGAAGUUCCCAGGCUAGGGAUCAAAUAAGAGCUACAGCUGCUGGCCUAUGCCAUAGCCACAACAAUGCUAGAUCUGAGCCACAUCUGUGACCCACACCACAGCUUGCUGCAAUGCUGGAUCCUUAACCCACUGAGCUAGUUCAGGGAUUGAAUCCGCAUCCUCAUGGAUACCAGUUAGGUUCUUAACCUUCUGAGUCACACCGGGAACUCCCCCAUGCUCCUGGUUUUAAAAAGCUCCUUUGCGUUGGGUUUUUCUCAUUGGACAUUGGCUCUCCUUGGUAGCUGGCACCACAUCAUCUUGCAUGUUACUUUUUCUUUUGCUCCUGUUUUUUCCAUUGAGAUCCUCUGGGAAACUCCAAAUUCUUUCCUUCUGCCAUGCAGAGAACUUGGCUUCCCACAGAUCUUGUCCUCAAAACUAUAUAACCAAAGUCAUAGAAAUUCUUAGCAGAAAAAAAAUGUCCUAUUCCCAUUUAAUGGGAUCUGUCCUCUUUAGAAGAUGGUUGGAGUUUAUAGAAAGCAAAACAUUUUUUUCUCCUGUAUGAUAAGGUUGCACAUCCUCAAUGACAUAGAAGUCCUUUGGGAACUGUUCCUUUCUAUGUCUUCAGCUUCAUCUCCUGUUACUCUGCAUCCAUCCCUAGCCUGCACACACACACACACACACACACACACACACGCACGCACACACACCUCCUACAAAACCACAGUCUUUGUGGGUCUCAAAACACACCAAGAUGUUUCUUUCCUGUAUUCCUUUUCUCAUAUUGUUUCCUCUGUCUGGGAUGCCCUCCCCCCAUCCCCCAACUUUCCCAUCUUUUUUUUUUUUUUUUGUCUUUUUAGGGCUAUACCUGUGGCAUAUGGAGGUUCCCAGCCUAGGAGUCACAUGGGAGCUGUAGCUGUUGGCAGGUGCCCCAACCACAGCAAUACCAGUUCUGAGCCAUGUCUGUGACCUACUCCACAGCUCAUGGCAAUGCCAGAUCCUUAACUCACUGAGAGAGGCCAGGAAUUGAACCUGCGUCCUCAUGGAUGCUAGUCAGAUUCAUUUCCACUGAGCCAUGAUGGGAACUCCUUUCCCUUCUUUAUCUUUCCUCCCACUCAUUCUUUAAGACCAGGUUGAGAAAUACUUUCCUUCUGAAAGGAUUCCCUGGCUCUGACCUUCCAUAGCUGGAUCAGGGAGUUCCUCACGGCUCCUACUCAGCUCUGUUCUGUCCUCCUCCCCACGCAGACUAGGAAAAGAGACCUCUGUCCACGUGGUCUCACCAGUACUUAGCCUGGGAUGGGCAUAUAGUAUGUGUUAUUUUCAUUUAUCUACCCAACAGAUGUUUAUUGAGUACCCGGUGUGUGUGCAGGGUGCUGUCCCCACAUCUCUGCCUUUUGGGAGCUGGUAUUCGGGGGGUGGGGGGGAGUCAGAAAACAAAACUGGAUACCCACUGUAGUUCAGGAAGCGAUGAAUCUGUGAAGGAAAGGAAAGCCAUGUAAGGGCACAGCAGGCCCUGGGGCUGCUUUUGUGGAUGGAGCACCUCUCUUAGAGGUGACAUUGGAGCAGGGACCUGAGUGAAGUGAGGAAAGGAGUCGAGUCGAGGGGAGAGAGUGGAGAAGUCUAUGUGGGAGCCUCUAAGGGUGCUUGGCAAGUGGCAUGCAGACCAGUGAGGCUGGGGCCAUGGGGAGAAGCACUGAGAUGGGAGGCCCCCCCAUCCCGGGGCCUUUUGGGCCACUGCAGGAAACUUUAGAUGUUUUCCCUUGAAGUCGAGGGAAGCCGUCGGGAGGUUGUGAACAGCAGAGUGACAUGACCAGACUGGUGUUUUAAGGGCUCAUGCUGGUUGCUCUGUUGAGAACAGUCUGCAGAGGAACAAGGGAAGAAACUGGAAGGCACUUAGGAGGUGAUUGCAGGGGUCAAGGCCAGAGAAAUGAAUUGCGUUAACAUUGGCUUUGUGGAAUAAUGGUUACGUUUCUUUAUCUCUAGCUCCCGUGGAGCCUUUCCUAAGCUUUUGUUAGGCAGGUCCCCUGUCGGAUUUAUCUUUCUAUUCUGAGUGCUUAGAGCAAGGCCUGCUAAAUUCUAGGAGUACAAUGUUAUUUAAAAAUAUUUUUCAGAGUUCCUGGUGUGGCUUAGCAGUAACGAACCUGAGUAGCGUCCAUGAGGUUGCGGUUUUGAUCCCUGGCCUCUCUCAGUGGGUUAAGGAUCCAGCAUUGCCAUAGCUAUGGUGUGGGUCUCAGACGAGGCUUGGAUCCUCUGUUGCUGUGGUAUAGGCUGGCGGCUGCAGCUCCGAUUUGACCCCUAGCCUGGGAACUUCCAUAGGGCGUUGGAUGCACCCCCCCCCAAAAAAAAAGACCAAAAAAAAAUACUUUCCUUGUUUGUUUUUUUUUUUUUUUAUUUUAAAUCAGUGAGUUUCUGAGCAUGACACAAAUGGAGAGAAGGAUGCUAUAUGACAUUUCAUCGUUACCCCCAUUUUCAGACGGGGAAGCCGAGGUUCAGAGAGGUAAUCUCAGUCAAGUCUCACAAAUCACAAAGUGAUGAGGCCAGUCUUUAAUCUCAAGUCUGUUUGAGCCCAUAGCCCUUAGCUUUUCUGUUCUGUCAGCUAGGCUGGUAUAGAGGAGGUGUUGGGGAGUCACUGGGGGGAAAGGCUGGACGUGUGGGUCCUGGCCUGAGCAACAAACCCCGUCUGUGAUGACAGACAGAGCCUCCUUCAA
rnacentral:lncRNA from 1 species